rnacentral:rRNA from 1 species
AGUGAACGCUGGCGGUAGGCCUAACACAUGCAAGUCGAACGGCAGCACAGUAAGAGCUUGCUCUUACGGGUGGCGAGUGGCGGACGGGUGAGGAAUACAUCGGAAUCUACUUUUUCGUGGGGGAUAACGUAGGGAAACUUACGCUAAUACCGCAUACGACCUACGGUUGAAAGCAGGGGAUCUUCGUACCUUGCGCGAUUGAAUGAGCCGAUGUCGGAUUAGCUAGUUGUCGGGGUAAAGGCCCACCAAGGCGACGAUCCGUAGCUGGUCUGAGAGGAUGAUCAGCCACACUGGAACUGAGACACGGUCCAGUCUCCUACGGGAGGCAGCAGUGGGGAAUAUUGGACAAUGGGCGCAAGCCUGAUCCAGCCAUGCCGCGCGAGUGAAGAAGGCCUUCGGGUUGUACAGCCCUUCUGUUGGGAAAGAAAAGCAGCAGGUUAAUAACCCGCUGUACUGACGGUACCCAAAGAGUAAGCACCGGCUAACUUCGUG